rnacentral:rRNA from 1 species
AGCGAACGUUUGCGGCGGGCUUAACACAUGCAAGUCGAACGAGAAUCCCUUCGGGGAGGAAAGUGGCGCACGGGUGCGUAACACGUGGAUAACCAACCCAUUGGUUUGGGACAACACCGGGAAACUGGUGCUAAUACCAGAUGUGUCGCAGCUGUCUCCAGGCGGUUGCGAGAAAGGCCCGCAAGGGUCGCCAACGGACGGGUCCGCGUCCCAUCAGCUAGUUGGUGAGGUAAUGGCUCACCAAGGCAAAGACGGGUAGCUGGUCUGAGAGGAUGAUCAGCCACACUGGAACUGAGACACGGUCCAGACUCCUACGGGAGGCAGCAGUGGGGAAUAUUGCGCAAUGGGCGAAAGCCUGACGCAGCCACGCCGCGUGAGCGAUGAAGGUCUUCGGAUCGUAAAGCUCUGUGGGGGGAGAAGAAGAAAGCCGGUGAAGAGCCGGCCCUGACGGUAUCCCCUUAGCAAGCACCGGCUAACUCCGUGCCAGCAGCCGCGGUAAAG